rnacentral:rRNA from 1 species
UGGGGAAUAUUGGACAAUGGGCGCAAGCCUGAUCCAGCCAUGCCGCGUGAGUGAUGAAGGCCCUAGGGUUGUAAAGCUCUUUCACCGGUGAAGAUAAUGACGGUAACCGGAGAAGAAGCCCCGGCUAACUUCGUGCCAGCAGCCGCGGUAAUACGAAGGGGGCUAGCGUUGUUCGGAUUUACUGGGCGUAAAGCGCACGUAGGCGGACUUUUAAGUCAGGGGUGAAAUCCCGGGGCUCAACCCCGGAACUGCCUUUGAUACUGGAAGUCUUGAGUAUGGUAGAGGUGAGUGGAAUUCCGAGUNUAGAGGUGAAAUUCGUAGAUAUUCGGAGGAACACCAGUGGCGAAGGCGGCUCACUGGACCAUUACUGACGCUGAGGUGCGAAAAGCGUGGGGAGCAAACAGGAUUAGAUACCCUGGUAGUCCACGCCGUAAAACGAUGAAUGUUAGCCGUUGGGGAGUUUACUCUUCGGUGGCGCAGCUAACGCAUUAAAACAUUCCGCCUGGGGAGUACGUCGCAAGNUUAAAACUCAAAGGAAUUGAACGGGGUCAUAGCUGUUUCCU